GUCAGUAUGGAGCUGCCAGAAAGGAGAUAAAGAGGGAGAUCACAGAGAAGCUUCAUGGAUGCAGUGGAGAAGGAUAUGCAGAGGGUUGAUGUGACAGAUGAGGAUGGUAGAGAUAGGGAGAGAUGAAGGCAGAUGAUCUGCUGUAGCAACCCAUAUAGAAGAAGAAGAAGAAGCAAUAUUUAUUGUCUAACCUAUUUUAAAAAAUUUAAUAUUUUUAUUGUCAUUGUCCUUGUAAUUACAACUGUAAAUUUGAUUUAUCCAUAUAAAUUUAUUCCAUGAAAUAAAUUAGACUAAAAAAAGGUGCCAGCACUCAUACGUGCAGAAGAGUGAAGUUCAAACCUGGCAACCCGAAUGGGGACGCUAGCAGUUCCUCUGUCCUUUAUAUUGCCCCCGUCUGCUUUUCCAGACUUUUCCAUCCCCCACAUCUCCGUACAGUGCAACGGCAGAUCAGAGGUCCUCUGUGUGUAUUACCUGCCGAAAGAUGGCGCUAAACGACAGGAAGACAAAAGCUGACGUCAUCAUUCGUUGAAGGUCAACAGAGAAGCUGUGGGAAACUGUCACUGCAAAUCAGUCCUGUUAACAGCUAUAUUAAACAUGACAAUCAAAAAGGGUGAUUUUAAAACAUUUUCUCAGGUGAAACAGUACAAUAAGCCACACCUGCUUUUACUGCACUGAAGUUUUUACUGAUUUCAGUGGAGCACAGCUGAAAUUAGCAUAAAAGGCCAAGCGAUUAUGCAAGUGUCCUAAAUUGUGUAAUGAUUUAUCAAAUGUUUCAACUUUGUACAGAGUUUUUGUUUUUAAAUAGAAAGACAAUUAUUUUUGUAGCACAUUUUAAAUAAUAAGAAGCACAGAUCAAAUUUUUUAUACUCUUUGAACAAUGUUCAGUGUUCAGCCUUAAGCAAGGAAAAUACGGAGUUGUUGUCUGAAUGUGAUACACACUGAAUUAAAGUUAUCAUUUUUUCCACUGUAA